rnacentral:rRNA from 1 species
AGAGUUUGAUUCUGGCUCAGGAUUAACGCUGGCGGCGUGCCUAAUACAUGCAAGUCGAAUGGUAGCAAUACCAUGGCGAACGGGUGAGUAACACGUAGGCAACCUGCCUUUAAGCCGAGGAUAACCAUUGGAAACGAUGGAUAAUACUGGAUAGGACAUUUGAAGGCAUCUUUAGAUGUUUAAAGAUUUAUCACUUAGAGAGGGGCCUGCGGCGCAUUAGCUAGUUGGUGAGGUGAAGGCUUACCAAGGCGAUGAUGCGUAGCCGGACUGAGAGGUUGAACGGCCACAAUGGAACUGAGAACGGUCCAUACUCCUACGGGAGGCAGCAGUAGGGAAUUUUCGGCAAUGGGCGGAAGCCUGACCGAGCAACGCCGCGUGAACGAAGAAGUAUUUCGGUAUGUAAAGUUCUUUUAUUAGGGACGAAAAGACAGAUUGACGGUACCUAAUGAAUAAGCUCCGGCUAACUACGUGCCAGCCGCCGC